GCACUUUGGAGAGAUAUAGGGUCUUUGCUGUUCGAAAAACUCAAAAACAGAGUUUUACUCCCUUGAAUUUAAUAAUAUCAGACUUACCUGUAAUUUUUUAGAAUUUUCUAACAACAUUCGAUAGGUUUAUUAAAUUUUUAUCAUUGUAGAAAUGAUAAAUUAGACUUAAUUAUCGCUCCGUCCAGAUAAAAUAAAAUACAC
rnacentral:lncRNA from 1 species